UACGUAGGGGGCGAGCGUUGUCCGGAAUCAUUGGGCGUAAAGCGCGUGUAGGCGGUUCUGUAAGUCUGCUGUGAAAGUCCAGGGCUCAACCCUGGGAUGCCGGUGGAUACUGCUGAACUAGAGUGCGGAAGAGGCGAGUGGAAUUCCCGGUGUAGCGGUGAAAUGCGCAGAUAUCGGGAGGAACACCAAUUGCGAAGGCAGCUCGCUGGGACGUUACUGACGCUGAGACGCGAAAGCGUGGGGAGCAAACAGG
rnacentral:rRNA from 1 species